GAUAGGUUGCAGGUGUAAAGGCAGUAAUGUCAAAGCCGAGCAAUACUAAUUACCCGUAGGCUUUGAGAAACGU
rnacentral:rRNA from 1 species